UGUGAACAUACCUACUGUUGCUUCGGCGGGAUUGCCCCGGGCGCCUCGUGUGCCCCGGAUCAGGCGCCCGCCUAGGAAACUUAACUCUUGUUUUAUUUCGGAAUCUUCUGAGUAGUUUUUACAAAUAAAUAAAAACUUUCAACAACGGAUCUCUUGGUUCUGGCAUCGAUGAAGAACGCAGCGAAAUGCGAUAAGUAAUGUGAAUUGCAGAAUUCAGUGAAUCAUCGAAUCUUUGAACGCACAUUGCGCCCGCCAGUAUUCUGGCGGGCAUGCCUGUCUGAGCGUCAUUUCAACCCUCAUGCCCCUAGGGCGUGGUGUUGGGGAUCGGCCAAAGCCCGCGAGGGACGGCCGGCCCCUAAAUCUAGUGGCGGACCCGUCGUGGCCUCCUCUGCGAAGUAGUGAUAUUCCGCAUCGGAGAGCGACGAGCCCCUGCCGUUAAACCCCCAACUUUCCAAGGUUGACCUCAGAUCAGGUAGGAAUACCCGCUGAACUUAAGCAUAUCAAUAAGCGGAGGAA
rnacentral:rRNA from 1 species